UACGGAGGGUGCAAGCGUUAUCCGGAUUCACUGAGUUUAAAGGGUGCGUAGGCGGGUAAGUAAGUCCGUGGUGAAAUCUCUGAGCUUAACUCAGAAACUGCCGUGGAUACUAUUUGCCUUGAAUAUUGUGGAGGUGAGCGGAAUAUGUCAUGUAGCGGUGAAAUGCUUAGAUAUGACAUAGAACACCAAUUGCGAAGGCAGCUCACUACACAAUCAUUGACGCUGAGGCACGAAAGCGUGGGGAUCAAACAGG
rnacentral:rRNA from 1 species